AGUGACAAUCAUUACAAUCCUCUACAAUCUCUUUUAUUGCAAUAAUGAGUGUCUUCUCCUUGAGAAAGAAUUGGUGGCUUCAGCUUUAAACCUCAAGUCCAAAACAAUUAUGUGUGCCAUGUGAAACAUGUUGGUGGAGCAUUUGGGGGGAAGGUACUAAACCAUCACUCUUUGUUGUAAUUGCAGCUGUGGCAGCCAACAAAUGAUAAAUAUGUAACUCAGAAUUGAAUAUGAACCACUUCUCAGACAUAAAGCCAGCUCUGCAAGAUGGAACACGUAACCCACAAGUAGUGGACUAUGCCCUUUUAUUCAAAUUUCUUCCAGAGUCACUGAAGUUAUUUGGAUAACCACUGAUGUGCUUUGCCUCUGCUUUCUUCAAAAUGAGAUGACAAGAAAAUGCACCCUCACCCUUGAGUUCUCUGUGUCUUUCAGAGUAAUGCCUUCAAUCUGCUCUUCCAUGUCUUGUGCUUCCCUCACUCCAGGGGUUGGCAGGACAGAGCAGUAGCCUGCUGCAGAGUACUUAUUUCUGUACAAUGAGGCAGGAGCCAACUUCCCUUCCCAUAUCAGUCCUAGCCAACAAUGAUUACACAAGCGUUUCUGCAGAAAGCAGGGCAAGAUGGCCAUGAUGACAUUGUUUCCUGACAAUAGCCACCUCACAGGUUUUCCAUUGCACUCAUCCUUUGGCACUGUACAAGGAGAUACAUCUGGAGUUGCUUAAUAACUUGUCACAGGGCCCAAAUUUUUGUUUAUAAGUUAAACAGGAAAAAAAAAAGGAAUAAAAAAAUUGAAGUAGUAAAGCACAGUAGCAAUUAUGAAAUAAAGAGCAAGAUUUUACCAGCCAUUCUCUCAUCAAUACAUAUCCAGUCAGAAAACAAACUAAAAAAACACUCUGGGAGACUGGAAAAUAGGAAAUGUCUGAUGAAACUGUGUCAAGGUCCAUUAAUUAAAGCUUUCAAUUUAAAAAGCCCCAUGGGCCUAAGUUUAAACAAAUCUGUUGUGCUCUAGGCUGAAAAUGUCUCCAUGAAAAAAGGACACAAAUCACAUCAGGCAGACCUGCAGGUCCCUCUCUUCUAAUAGCAGCCAGCUAGAGACUCCUACCUCAACCUGCCUUAGGAAUUGGGGUCGGGAAUUCUGCAUCCAUCCACUUCUGCUUCCUUCCAUGCAGUAUAUCCAGCAGUCAAAGUGUUUCUCAGUGGUAGAACUUCUCAUACUCAUAGAAGUCAUAACCAAGGUCAAGAACCUUCAUGAGCUGUGUUGUGCAAAAAACUUGUUAACAACUUAGAAUUUAAAUAAAGAUGAAUUUGCUAUUCAGUCACCAGGAGAUGAUGUACAAUCUCCAGGAAUGCACCAAGAACUGUAGGCUUUCUUUGCAAACAUCAUGGCCCCCACAAUUCAAUGCAGUCUCAUUCAACUGUAUUGCAUAGUGGAACCUUGUAUGUCAGUUCCUGUAAUGUGAGCUUCUCAGGCUGAGAGCUCUCCUCUGCUAUGGAGGUAUGAGCUUAAUUACCUGUUCAAUUACAAGAAGGCCACUGUUCACUAGAGGUAAGUUGGUUGAUUUCCCAACCUUUUGUAACUUGAGAAAAUUGAGAUAUGUGUGUGCAAUGACAUUUGUGUGGCUGAUAAGGAACAUGCAUUUGUGAAAUACAGUAAGGGGGUUUUUUUCCUUAGCAAAAUUAUUUUAUGUAUUAUUUUGGUUUCCUAAAGACAAACCUGCAACCUGUAAACCAUGGGCUUAGAUUAUAGAUUAGUUCUGCUGUCCUAAAGAUCAGAAAACCAGAUGACUCCUUUACAGCCACUUACUGACUGCAAGCAUUCCUGCAAGACAGAAUUAGAACUGUCAUACACAUACACACACAUAUAUAUAUGAGACACCAUCUUGGUAGAACAAGAUAUAAGCACCAGUUCUCUUGUCCUGCCAAGGAAAAGACCUGUCAUUAAUGUGUUUCAUGCUACACUGGAACAGUUCUGGAGUUACCUCAAGAGCUUGAAACAAUUUGCAUGCAAUUUUGUAAGUACCUGCAACAAAGAGCAGAUCACAAGUAGUACCAUUUUGUCACUUCUACAUCCAGUUUGAGAGUAAGAACUGUUAUCUGAUUUUUUUCUGUUCUUCAGCAUAUGGAAAAUCCCAAGGAUCAGAAUGAGAAAUGUACAAAUUAAUGAUGGGUGAUGUAUCAAUAUUUCAGUAAAACAGAGAUUCUAAAAGUACAUACUGCCAAGUAUUUCUAGGCACAGAUAUAUUACCACCCAAGUAACACACCAGUUUAGCUCUGCUUCCUGGCAGCCCACCUCAGGCCUGCUCCACAUCAUCAGGUCUCUCUGAACCACUAACUCUGGCCUCUCCCAGAGGUGGAAUAUAAUCACUGCUAUUCACUGCCUUGUCACCACUCACUUCUCCUCUGCCUUACCCACAGUUUUGCCCCUUCUUUUCAGCAAAAUGCUGAAGCAGGACCAAGUUGAUGCAUUCAUCCCAGAUGAGGAGAGGGCACGAGGUGGGGAAGUGGCACUGGAGGUAGGAAGGGUUAAGAGCAGGACAGGAUCCCAGUACCAGCUGUUUUCCUAACAGAGGUGAGGUUGCCCAUAGCAACCAUCAGCAGAGCAGAUGUGCAGCAGGUGACCAAGAGGGAAAGGUGGAGAGGAGGGCUGAGAGGGGAACCAUGACAACACGAGUUCAUUAUAGGUGUGGCAGCUCAGCUGUGCCAAACAACUGGCACUCUGACAGACACUUCUUUGGAAAGGAGGUUUUAAAGUGAUCCAGUGGCAGCUGUAUGAAUCUUGAUGGAACAUUUCCCUAUGAGGAGAGCAGUCUGGAAAACAAAUGUAAAGGUAUUUGAGAGGGAGAAAAGGAAAUACCUGAGCUGAGCCAGUGUAGAUAUACAUACAAAUCAAUAUUCAGCUUUGAUAGCUGAUAAUUCAAAGCCAUAAAAUUAACAGUGAGAUCACAUUUAACAACAUCAUUCUGUAACCAAACACUAGCAUAAGAAACAACUCUGGAGAUGUUCAACAGGUAUUGCAUUAGUUCAGAUCCUGAGCUUAUUUACAUGAACACAAAUUUAUUUUCAUUUAUUUCACCGAUGACAGUGCAGGCUUAAAUUAGCAUAGUAUAUAAAGGAGGGUGACCUGCACACACCCUCACAUAAGUCACAUUUAAUCUAAGUCUGUAGAGAUAAAAAAAGAUCUUAUUCCUUUACAUCAGUAAAAUUUUCCUGUUCCUUUCUCUUGGUAAAGUGUGAGAAACUACAGCUAAUGGGAAAAGCUCAGCUGGUGAUGAGCUUUGUAGUUUUGUCAUAUCAAAGAUUUUAGGGAGCUGACAACAGGAAUUAUUAUAUCUUUGUGUUUCCUUUCCUUAAAAUGUGGUUUUAAUAAUUCCUGAUUUUUCUUCUUAGCUUUUUAAUUGAUUUAGACAAAUGCUCUCAUUUUAGAAUGAGCACCAAUGUAAUCAGUGCCUUGGGUUUAGAAUUAAUGGACAAAUAUUUGCUAAUAUUAAGGUGAAAAUUCUUCCUCUGAAUGUGGUAUUUUUGAAGUUAGUAUUUUGGGAAUUUCAUCAAGCUGUUAACUGGAAUCUGCAAAAAUGUUUCUUGAAUAAAACUUGUAAGGCACUGUACUGCUAUUUCAUGGCACUGGGAUCUAUCACCAGUAUUGUUUCAAGGAUAAGAUAGUAACAAAAACUGGUAUGAGAUGAAAUCUGGCUCCUAUUGACAAUAAGAAUG